UACGUAGGGUGCAGGCGUUAAUCGGAAUUACUGGGCGUAAAGCGUGCGCAGGCGGUCUUUUAAGUCAGAUGUGAAAUCCCCGGGCUUAACCUGGGAACUGCGUUUGAAACUGGAAGGCUAGAGUGUGGCAGAGGGGGAUGGAAUUCCGCGUGUAGCAGUGAAAUGCGUAGAUAUGCGGAGGAACACCGAUGGCGAAGGCAAUCCCCUGGGCCUGCACUGACGCUCAUGCACGAAAGCGUGGGGAGCAAACAGG
rnacentral:rRNA from 1 species